UCACACCAAACACUAUCUGCGUCUCAUUCAGUGAAACCAUUGGUAGUCUCGAAGAAGAAGAAGAAUGAGUUCAUCGUCAAGCAUAAACAUCCAGAAUGUUCUAUGCCCUACAACUAGGCCACCUUCUCAGACUAAUCAGCCCUCUAACCCUCCAAGACCUUCCACUCGAAUCCCAACUGCCCCCAAUAUCUUUUCCAGGAGACGUUGAUCAUGCCUUCAUUAUCUAAUCUUCAGAUUGUGGUGAAAGGGCUGGUGAUAUUGAAGAUAAAGAGCAGAAACAAAGUUAUAGGAUAUCAAUAUGUAUAACACACACACACACACAUCAUGCUUUUAUUCAUUUUUAUGUUUGUUUACUUUGUUUGUUUGAUGUUUUGCGUCUUGGAAUGAUUUGUACGUUCUAGCU